AUUGAACGCUGGCGGCAGGCCUAACACAUGCAAGUCGAGCGGACGAAUGGAGCUCUCUCCCGGCUGCAGCUGCGGACGGGUGGGUAAUUCCCACGUAUCUGCCCUAUCUAUGGGGAUAACGUCCGUACACGGGCGCUAAUAUCGCAUCGGUCCAUAUGUUGAAAGUGGUGGUUCUUUGGAGCUCGCGGUAUUAGAUGAGCCUAGGACGGAUUAGCUAGUUGGUUGGGUAAAGGCCUACCAAGGCGACGAUCCGUAACUGGUCUGAGAGGAUGAUCAGUCACACUGGAACUGAGACACGGUCCAGACUCUUACGGGAGGCAGCAGUGGGGAAUAUUGGACAAUGGGCGAAAGCCUGAUCCAGCAAUGCCGCGUGAGUGAUGAAGGUCUUCGGAUUGUAAAGCACUGUUAGUUGGGAGGAAGAACAGUAAGUUAAUACCUGGCUGUUUUGACGUUACCAACAGAAAAAGCAACGGCUAACUUCGUG
rnacentral:rRNA from 1 species